rnacentral:rRNA from 1 species
CACGGGGGGAGCAAGCGUUGUUCGGAAUCACUGGGCGGAAAGGGCGUCUAGGCGGUCGUUCAAGUCGAGUGUGAAAGCCCCCGGCUCAACUGGGGAGGGUCACUCGAUACUGAUCGACUCGAAGGCAGAAGAGGGAAGCGGAAUUCCCGGUGUAGUGGUGAAAUGCGUAGAUAUCGGGAGGAACACCAGUGGCGAAGGCGGCUUUCUGGUCUGCUCUUGACGCUGAGGCGCGAAAGCUAGGGUAGCAAACGGG